rnacentral:lncRNA from 1 species
AUUCACGCCUGGAAAACGCUCUUCUGAGAUGAUCUGUGGAGGUCAACCCAGGAGAGAGAAGACAGGACUGAAGCACCGAAAGGGUCCUGCCGUAACGGAGCAGGAUUGUAUAGAAUAUAUAAUAGCAGUAGCAGCUCUGUUUACGGAGCAUUAACCUUACGUGGAGUUAUUUCCUGCAUUUCCUCCUUUCAUCUUUACAAGGUAGCCAUUUGGCGUUGGGAGAGAUUGGGUCUCUCCACAUUGCCUAGGCUGCUCUCCAACUUCUGAGCUCAAGUGAUCCACCUCCCUUGGCCUCCCAAAGUACUAGGAUUACAGGCGUGAGCCACCGUGCCUGGCUGAGAAGAUGGAUUUAAGACAUGUUUUGGAGCGGAAAGUGAGCAGAAGAGGUGUGCAGUUUCCAGGCCUGGCCCAUACAGACCUCCAACAGGUGUUCCCCUGUGCUCUUACUCCUUCUGCCAACUGGAAGCAGAUGGUGACAGGCUCUGGAGAAGGCAAGGCCUGAAGAUGGGAGAUUCCUAAGUGGAGGAGAACUGUGCCUUACUGACCUAAAUAUCCACUCAGUAUUGUUAUGUGAGAAUAAAUAAACUUGUGUUGACCUUU